UACGGAGGGGGCUAGCGUUGUUCGGAAUUACUGGGCGUAAAGCGCGCGUAGGCGGACCUGCAAGUCGGGGGUGAAAUCUCGGGGCUUAACUCCGAAACUGCAUUCGAUACUGCCGUGCUUGAGGACUGGAGAGGAGACUGGAAUUUACGGUGUAGCGGUGAAAUGCGUAGAUAUCGUAAGGAAGACCAGUGGCGAAGGCGGGUCUCUGGACAGUUCCUGACACUGAGGCACGAAGGCCAGGGGAGCAAACGGG
rnacentral:rRNA from 1 species